CUGCUCGAGUGGGAGAUACGGAGCCAAAGCCACAGCUUGCCAUGUGAAAAUAACACGUAACCACCCAUGCACCUGCACGGGCUGCUCUCGGGGGUCGGAAUGGAAAACUUGACCAUAGUCUACAGGCUCUGGAGUUCAUAGGAAGAACCUUCUGCACUCCUUCUGGUCUUACUGCCCAAGUCGAGCCUAGAGGCCCUUACCAGAGUCACCAGCUUUCUGUUGCUCUGCCACGUUGGCCAGCACGUUUUACAUUUGACUCCUCAAUGCCUACUGCUAGGGAGAAUCCACCUGGAAUUCAGAUUUUUCCUUCUAAAUGCCAGAAGAUCUGAUCAUGCCAAGCCCAGAUUCCAUCCUGGCAAUGACCAGAGCCCAUGUUCUCUGUGGGCAAGUAAGUCCCUGAGAGUCUCCGUUUCUUUCUCCCCAAGGCAGGAGGCCAAGUGUCACUCACGCUUUAUCUUCUCCCACCUGGCCUGCUUCCCUCGCUGGAAUAAGAGUUGAUGUGUUGAUAUAUAAAUGUAUGCAGUAUGUCAUCACCUGCCACCCUGGAAGACCUUGGGUUGGAGUCUGAUCCUUCCUGUGAAGUGUUUGUGGUGGACAUUCAGCCACAGAGCUCCUACUGGCAAGAUGGGGCCUCGGUGCAAAAGACAGAAGGGCCCCCAGGGGGUAGCAGACAGUUCACAGGUGCCCCCCACCCGGGGCAAUGAAUUCCCCAGGCUGUGCUGGGCUCAGCCUCAUUCUCCUUGGCAGUCCCUGUUUGUGUUACCACGGAUGAGCCCAGGAGCCCGACAGCAAGGACAUCACCCACCGUUAUUUGGCUCAUCCAAUUCGAUGCACGUGGAACCUGGGCACCUGCCAGCAGUGACACAUGCCUGAGGUCCCCCUGCAGGCCAGGUUUCCUGCCAGCGCCGGGAGCCUGGAGUGGGUGUCGGCUAGGGUUUCCUCUGUCCUUGUUCCUACCCCCGGCUCCCAGACCAUCCAUCAGCCCACAGCUCACCUGUGAAACCCAAGGCUGGGAACUGCGGCGCUAUUCUGUUACAAAAUCAAGAUUUAUCGGAACAUGACAGGCCUGGAGGGUUUUAUGACAUGCAUGGCGCCAGUCCCUCCUCCUGACCUAUUUGUCCCCGGUGGGGCAGGGCAUUUUCUGACUGCCGACACCACUCCAUCUGCUCCUGGAUUCCCAGCAUUUUGACAGUCAGGACAAAAUGUCCAGCCUGGGCCAGGCCCCUUGGGCUGGAUUAUCACUUCGGCAGUGAGCGCUUGGCCCCUUCCCCUUGGAAAAAGACCUCAAGCCCUGCUCCCCCCAACCCUGGCUCGGCCUGGUGUGAAUGAAAUUCAAAUCGAGCUCUGACAGCCCCAUGAAUUGUCUGUUUUCCAACCUGCCUCCCGCUCUUUCAUCUUCACGGCAGAAACAGUGAAAUAAUCCGUUCCCAUCUCUACAAAGGCCCCACCACACCCCAAUUGCCUGUGUCUCAAGAGAAACGUGGUGUGGGGACCAUUUGGAGCCUCUUUAAAAACAACGUCACCACAUCCUGAGACCGCCUGGGAAUUGCCGUCCAGCAAGAGAGAAGCCGGUAAUCAGCACAUUCUCCUCACUGGCUCUGACAUCUGACCAGGACACUUGCAGAAAGCCCCGCUGGCCUUUCCAAGACAUUCUUCUUAAGGUAAAUUCCUAAAAAACCCGGCAAGAGUCCAAGCCUGUGCAUACAUAUGCCAAAAUCUAGAAAAAAGGAGCAGACUAUAAGAUGAUAAAAUUAUAAUUAGGCAAUCCCCUUCCAAAAGAGCCCAUAGCAAUCCAUUGCUUCUAUUCUUAUUUUGGUAAAGUACACCUCACAUACGAGUCACUAUUUUAACCAUUUCGAAGUGUAGAUUCAGUGGCAUUUAGUACAUUCACAGCACAGGGCAACCAUUGCCACAAACUCCAGAACAUUUUUACCGCCCGCAGAGGAAACCCUGCACCCACUCACAGACCCUCCCCAUUGUCCCUCACCCCAGCCCUUGUCAACCGCAAGCCUGCCUUCUGUCUAUAUGGAUUUGCUUUUUCUAGAUGUUUUGUGGAAAUGGAAUUAUGCGCUAUGCAGCCUUUUGUGUCCAAUGAGCACAUGAAAAGAUGCUCACCAUCAUAAGCUGUCAAAGAAAUGCAAAUCAAAACCACAAGGAGAUGCCACCUCACACCCACCAGGAUGGGUGUCAUCCAGGAAUGGAAAGUCACCAGCAUUGGUGAGGGUGUGGGGGAACUGGAGCCUGCAUUCACAGCUGGUGAGGGACAAAUGGUGCCAUUGCUGUGGACACCCACCGCUUCCUAACAAUCACUCAAGACUCAGCUGCUGGCUGGGCUUGCUCGGGCUGAAGGAAAAGGAGCCAGUGGGGGUCCCAUGCCUGUUGGAGCCCCAGACCUCCCGCGUAGCAGCCGUGUGACCUUCAAGAAUUCACUCGACCUCUAAUGUAAACAACACAAGUGCUAAGUAGUGUCGGUCUACUCAACACCAGCUCCUGAGCAUGAGGCUGGCGCAGAGGGGCCUUUCAAAAGAUGCUGUUGGAACGAUGGACAGACUGUUGACUCCACAUGAGCUAGCACAGUGCCCUCCUUGAAGGCCCACGAAGUUUCAGGAAGAGCCGAUCCCACAACCCAGCGGGCUGUAGAGCACCUCCAUGCCUCCGCAGAGCCGACUCCUCUGGUACCGCACGGCUGUGACAGAUCAUUUCUUCAUCCGUCUCCUCCCUCUGCCAAGUCAUCAGAAAAUGCUGAGCACCUAUGGAAAAUCCUCAGCACACUCCGCCUCUUCGGUCUGGUUUUCAUUUUAUGUUGUGCUGCUUUUUUGGUACAAUAAACAAGGUGAAAGCAAGCUGGCCUAAUGGGAAGUUUGACAUGAUUUCCACUCUUCUACCGAAAAGUGACGAUGCAGCUCCUGGGCCGAGGAGGGACGUUGUGUGACCGGUUCAGAGGCAGGAGUUCACGCCGCUGCAGUGACCCUCUGCAAAAGGAAGCAACUGGACAUUUCCUCUACACAUUGUCCUUUUGAAAAGUUCCAAAAUCCACACCACCAGGCUCAAGCCUGCCUCCUUCAGCAAGCCUCCCCAGGACCCUCCUCACACCUUCCCUGGCGAUGCAUCAGGCACACACAUUUAUUGAGCACCAGCUGAAUGCCAGCCACAGCAUUUACGUGGGGUUUCAGGUAUGAAUAGCAUCGUCGCGGAGCAAGCCAGGCCUGCAGUGCAGAACCACAGAGGCAAGGUGCCAUCACAGCACCAGAGCUUGGCAGGGCCAGGGACCAUCCCUCCCAUCGCCCAUCUCCUGGUCUAGAUGCAGUUAGGCUUCUGAGCAGUACCUGAAGCUUCCUUGUGCUCCUGUUCUCAAACCAUUUUCUUGUGUGUAAGAGGAACUUGUGUUGUCUCCAUCUGCCUGGUGUUUGCACCCAAAGCAAGCUCUCCAUGUGGGAGGGAAAAAAUUAACUGAGGAACCAAGCCUGGGGCAGAAGCACCAAAUCUGCACCUUUGCACUCUGGAGGGUUGUGAUGAACCGCUGCCUGUUUUUCCAGGGACUUUUUUCCCACCCACCUUUGAACUACCUUAAAACAAUCAAGUGCUGCCUUUUGACAGGCUGGCCUAAUGGGAAGGUUGUCUUUCUUCUUUUUGGAACCCUACGGAACUUCUCCCAGGCCACAAAGCUACAAUGUGGGACUUUCCUUAAAACGCUCCUGCCGUUUUCAUAGCAACGAUUCCAUGCAGCACGAAGGCAAGAGAAACCGAUAAGUCAUGACUA